rnacentral:rRNA from 1 species
CUACGGGACGCUGCAGCCGAGAAUCUUCCGCAAUGGGGGAAACCCUGACGGAGCGACGCCGCGUGGAGGAUGAAGGUCUUCGGAUUGUAAACUCCUGUCGCCUGGAAAGAAGAUUCUGGGGUAAAUAAUCCCGGAAUUUGACGGUACCAGGAAAGGAAGCCACGGCUAACUCUGUGCCAGCAGCCGCGGUAAUACAGAGGUGGCGAGCGUUGUUCGGAUUCAUUGGGCGUAAAGGGUCCGUAGGCGGCCCGAAAAGUCGGAUGUGAAAUCCCACGGCUCAACCGUGGAACUGCAUUCGAAACUUUCGGGCUCGAGCGUAGGAGGGGUGAAGGGAAUGCCCGGUGUAAGGGUGAAAUCUGCAGAGAUCGGGAGGAACACCAGUCGCGAAGGCGCUUCACUGGCCUACUGCUGACGCUCAGGGACGAAAGCCAGGGGAGCAAACGGGAUUAGAUACCCCGGUAGUC